rnacentral:tRNA from 1 species
CAGAAUGUAGCUUAACCAGAUGAGCAUCUCAUUUACACCGAGAGGGAACCCGUGCAAAUAGGGUCAUUCUGA